AGGAUGGAGAGAAUCCCCCACUAAGCUUUUGGGUUGGCAUUUCUUUAGAUUUUGUUUUGUAUUAAUUGCAUGCUUUGGUGUUUUUUUUGUGUUUGAUGUGAGGUGUGGGCCACACCCAUGUGGGAGUGGAGAUUCUACUCUAGUCCAGCUGCCAGCUAUUUGGAGUUGAAUACAGGGAGCAGCUGAUUGGGGAGGAUUGGAGCCCUUCUCUAUAAAGGGGAGAGGAAACAGGAAGUAGGGGUUGUCGUUGUUUUUUUUAGUAGGACACUGGUGAAGCAGGGAAGCCUCGAAGAUCCAGGAUGAAGUGUGCACAUUUUAAUGGAAAAGAUUUUUAACCUGGCCUGGUUUUGCUUUUAAAAUAAACUGAGGAUGUUGGAGGGAGGACUCAUUCUUAUUGGGAUGUGAGUGGAUGUGCUGGAAGGCAGGAAAACAAACACUGGACUGGAGACUCUCUGUGCCCCUGACAAGGAAACUGGACCAGUUUUGGGGAAGUUCCAGCUCCCAGGAUGUGAUGUGGAGACCCAGCCUCGAACGAAGUCAGGCCUGAAAAGGCUAACAACCCUGACCGCGGUGGCCUUGGGCCUUGGAUUCCUGGCCAGAGUUGUGUCUUCAGCCAGUAGUUUUACCCGGAGAAAGAACAAAUAAAUCUUGUGUAACCCA